GACGAACGCUGGCGGCGUGCCUAAUACAUGCAAGUCGAACGAACCGCGACUAAGUGCUUGCACUAAGUCAAGGUGAGUGGCGAACGGGUGAGUAACACGUGGGUAACCUACCUCAUAGUGGGGGAUAACAGUCGGAAACGACUGCUAAUACCGCAUAGGACAUAGGAUCACAUGAUCCAGUGAGGAAAGGUGGCGCAAGCUAUCGCUAAGAGAUGGACCCGCGGUGCAUUAGCUAGUUGGUAGGGUAAAGGCCUACCAAGGCGAUGAUGCAUAGCCGACCAGAGAGGGGGGAAGGCAGUAUAGGGAAUGAGACAAGGCCCUAACUCCGACGGGAGGCGGAAGGCGGGGAGUGUGCGCAAUGGAGGCACGUCUGACGGAGCAACGCCGCGUGAGUGAAGACGGUCUUCGGAUCUGAAAGCUCUGUUGUGAGAGAAGAACAGCGCGUCGAGGAACCGGUAUGCGUGUGACGGGAUCUAACAAGAAAGCCACGGCUAACGACGUG
rnacentral:rRNA from 1 species